rnacentral:lncRNA from 1 species
UUUUUUUUUUUUCUCACUAGCUGUUGUGCUGUACUUGCUUGGGGAAGAAAAAAGAGCAAAAUCCAACCCAAGAAAAAGAUUUAAUUGCAAGAGAAGUGAAACACAAACUUAAAGACUGCAAGGUCUAGUUACCCCAGAAGAGAAUUACAGUGAUGUGCACUUCAAAUGCCUGUCUCAGAGAUUGCCCAACACAUGGUAUCAUGACAUUUGAAAAUAUCCAAGUUCAGUGUCUCCAAAUGACAUCAAAAUGAACUGGGACAGGGAUCAGGAAAUGCCUAAAGUUACCUGACAGGAGGUGCCAAGAGCAGGGAUAUCUGAAUCCCAUAAUUCUUCAAAACCUCAGUUGCUACUUUUUUUUCCUCUUGUGUGGCACCUUGUUUCUCACAAGAGUAUUUGAUCAGUGCUUAACCUGGACUAAGAUCAAAGGUGUUCCUCAGCCUGUGCAAUGUCAGAUGUACCACCCAGCUGGCUAAACAAGGACCUCACACUGCGGGAGAUGCUCUCCCCAGUAGUCCUGGACUGGCUGCAUUGCUAAGCAGCCUCACUGAUUUCUAAAGACUGUGUCACGAUUCAGCACAUGGGGUCUGAAGGAGGAUGGCCAUUCUAUGUACAGAGGGCAAUGGAUAAAAGAAGUGGAAAAGGAAGAAGGAAAGAAGUUGAAAAAAUUGAUGGAGCACAGGGACAGGAGGACAGAGGAAAAAAAGGAAAGUGAGGGGAGCUGCAAUUUAAUUAGUAUGCUGACUCUGAAGAGCCCUUUCAAAACAAAUCAAGCUUGCAAUAGCAAGAAUCAGAGUCAUAGACUAUCAGUGCAAGUAACAGAUGAAUCUCCCAGGAAACCCCUGUUAAGAACUGAGUGGAGCAUUGCUAAGGGCUUAUGCAAGUGUUCCUCUGCAGAAUCAGGCCAGAUUCCCACCUGAAGGUUCAAGGAUGGCCUUUUCUGCAUCUGUGUUCUGAGUCUGUUGGAGAAGCUGUCCAUACAGCUGCUCAGUACUGCUGCUGCCUAGCACUGUGCAUCGGCCUCCACAUCAACUGUGUAGUGAUUUUAGUGCCAUUUCUGAAAUCUCAGAAGAAACAACUUCCUGGCCUAAAUAAACUUUUGUUUAAAAAAGAUAACA